rnacentral:rRNA from 1 species
UACGUAGGGCGCAAGCGUUGUCCGGAAUUAUUGGGCGUAAAGAGCUCGUAGGCGGCUUGUCACGUCGAUUGUGAAAGCCCGAGGCUUAACCUCGGGUCUGCAGUCGAUACGGGCUAGCUAGAGUGUGGUAGGGGAGAUCGGAAUUCCUGGUGUAGCGGUGAAAUGCGUAGAGAUCCGGAGGAACACCGAAGGCGAAGGCAGUGUCCUGGCGAGUGACUGACGCUGAGGUGCGAAAGCCAGGGGAGCGAACGGG